rnacentral:rRNA from 1 species
UUCUAUAGCCAUGCUACUGAACAAACCCAAUCCCGUCUGAUCUUGGAAGCUAAGCAGGGUCGGGUCUGGUUAGUACUUGGAUGGGAGACCACCUAGGAAGACCAGAUGCUGUAGGCA